GGGGUUGUGGCUCAGUGGUAGAGCACUUGCUUAGCACUUGCAAGCACUGGGUUUGAUCCCCAGCACCACA
rnacentral:tRNA from 1 species